AGAUUGAUCGCAAUAAGAAUUUGUAAGACGACAUAUAUGUGAAAACCUAUUAAAAGAUUGAUCAGAAGAAAAAGAGAAAAUAGUAUUCAUGUAUGUAAAUGGAGCUUAAACUUUUUCAUCCUCACUCUCGUUCUGGGUCUGAUUUUUCUUUAAGGAUCGACUAUAAAACUGGAAAUCGUUGUAGUCGUAAUUCUGCUCAUAAGGAUUGCCUUGGGGUCGUGGAUAGAGAUUCAGAUUCCCUCCAGGGAAAUGGUAAUUUCCAGGAUAUCUGUUAGCACCGGUGAAACUCCCUGGCGGUCUUCGAUUACCAUAAUAGUUUGGCGAUUGUACAAAGGUUGCUGGACCGUAUUUGUUAGGAGCGCUCUGAAAAUUUUGUCAAACAAUGACAAAUGAAGUAUAAAAACAAUGCGUCUUACGAUAAAUAAAAUUAAUAAUCUUUGAUGAAAAUUAUGAUAAAUUAUUAACAAUUAUUAAUAUACCGGAUAAGGAUAAUAUCCUUGACCAUAUUGUCCGGAAACCAAGAAUAGCAACUAUUUUGUUACGUACAAAUUUCAAUCCUACGGAGGGACAGUUGAAGCUAUAUCUGCAUCUGCAAGUGUCAUAUUCUCGAUAUCGAGGAUCGUCCUUGACCCAAGAUGGUACGAAACCAGUUUCCAAUGCGCCAUCGUCGAUAUUUCCGGUGUAGGAAGGUCUGAAUAGAUUAUUUUAUUCAAUAGUUAUUUUUUUUAACUUCUAACUGUCUUGUGACUUAGUAGAAUUUAGUUUUGAUCUUCUAAAUUUAAUCCAAGAUAAAAAAAGUUUUCAAAAAUAAAUUCUAUAUUUUAAUCUAAUUAUACAAAUAAUUGUAUCAUAGAUUUUUUCGAUUAUAUCAAAAAUAUAAAUUUAAUUUAUAUUUAAUAUAUAUACAUAUAAAAAUAUGCUAAAAUAUCGAUCAUCAAUUAUAAAAAAUUAAAUUCAAUUGAAUGUUCUUCAAUAUCCAAUACUUAUAAGAGAAUAAUUUUAAUUCAAACGUGAUCCAAGUCCAACCUAAAUCCAAUCCAAACCUUAGACCAUGGAACUUCGAUGUUUUGGCCUCUUUUCAUAAAAUGCAACGGUGUAUCAGGUCAUUGGGUCGUACAAAGCCAAUCAACAUUGAGGAUACGAGUAACGAAAACUUAUUGGGUUGGAAAACAGCGCGAAGAUACGAAAUACCUUUUUAUAAUGCCAGUCGGGCCACCAGGACCGACAAGAACUUCUUUGUUGCCAGGAUACGAUGCCGGUACAAUAGGUCUACUGUUAGGACCGUAAGGUCCCACGUUUUGUGGUUUAAAUCCUAUUAAUGGUCUCUCGUUACCGAAAUGUUCGAUAUUCUCAUUCACCUGGUAUCUAUAAUUGAACAAAUAGUUUAUAUUUCAAUUUUACUUUUUUUUUCCCAAUUUUUUUUGCAAUCGAUCUUAAAGUAUCUUAAGAUUAUUUAAAACAUCGUUAAAUGGAAAGCAUAGGAUAGUGUUUGUAUAAUAAUUCUCUUUCAAUCAUUUUUAUUUUUUAUUUUUUUUUCAUAUUCAAAUCUUCAAACUAUAUACAUACCAAACACAUAUAUUCAUACAUACAUCAAAUAUUAUCUCCAAAUUUCUCUAUAUUUUAACUAUAAAAUUAAUAUAUUGUAAAAUUUUAUCUGAAUUGUUAUUAUAAUCUUUUAGUCUGAGAAUAGCUACAGCAAGAGUUUAUAAGCUGCGAAAAGACAAAAGAAUGACAAAAUAUGACAGUACAAGGAAAGGAACAGAGAUUAGAUACCUAUUUCCAUUGGACAUCUGAAAAUUCUAUCGAAUAAUAAACUCUUUGGCGAGUUUUCUUUUUUUAUUAUUUAUCUUAGAGUAAAAAUUUCAAAAAUUGUUCUUAAAAAAAACUAUGAAGAUUGAACAAACCUCGUCUUCCCGAGCCUGCUCUCUCCAUUUUUCCACGCCCAUCCAUCGUCUUCGACAGCUAUUACGACCAUUGUGAUGCAACAAAAGAGGAACAGAAUGGCCAUCGUUUUACGGGAAACGCGAUUUCGUAAAAAAGACAAGAUAGUCAGCUUCACCGGCGAAUAUUGUCGACAGUCGACUAAAA